rnacentral:rRNA from 1 species
UGAGUAACGCGUAUCCAACCUGCCCACCACUUGGGGAUAACCUUGCGAAAGUAAGACUAAUACCCAAUGAUAUCUCUAGAAGACAUCUGAAAGAGAUUAAAGAUUUACCGGUGAUGGAUGGGGAUGCGUCUGAUUAGCUUGUUGGCGGGGUAACGGCCCACCAAGGCAACGAUCAGUAGGGGUUCUGAGAGGAAGGUCCCCCACAUUGGAACUGAGACACGGUCCAAACUCCUACGGGAGGCAGCAGUGAGGAAUAUUGGUCAAUGGACGAGAGUCUGAAUCAGCCAAGUAGCGUGCAGGAUGACGGCCCUAUGGGUUGUAAACUGCUUUUAUAAGGGAAUAAAGUGAGUCUCGUGAGACUUUUUGCAUGUACCUUAUGAAUAAGGACCGGCUAAUUCCGUGCCAGCAGCCGCGGUAAUACGGAAGGUCCGGGCGUUAUCCGGAUUUAUUGGGUUUAAAGGGAGCGUAGGCCGGAGAUUAAGCG